rnacentral:rRNA from 1 species
GAUGAACGCUGGCGGUGUGCCUAAUACAUGCAAGUCGAGCGACCGGACGAGAAGCUCGCUCUUCUGCUGUUAGCGGCGGACGGGCGAGUAACACGUGGAUCACCUUCCUCUUAGACUGGGAUAACUUCGGGAAACCGCUGCUACUACUGGAUAAUAUUUUCUACCGCAUGGUUCAAAAGUGAAUGACGGUCUUGCCGUCUCUUAUAGAUGGAUCCGCGUUGCAUUAGCUAGUUGGUAAGGUAACGGCUUACCAAGGCAACGAUGCAUAGCCGACCUGAGAGGAUGAUCAGCCACACUGGAACUGAGACACGGUCCAGACUCCUACGGGAGGCAGCAGUAGGGAAUCUUCCGCAAUGGGCGAAAGCCUGACGGAGCAACGCCGCGUGAGUGAUGAAGGUCUUCGGGUCGUAAAGCUCUGUUAUUAGGGAAGAAAAGAUGUGUAAGUAACUGUGCACAUCUUGACGGUACCUAAUCAGAAAGCCACGGCUAACUACGUG